UACGCUGCUAGGACGGAGAACUUAGAAAACUAUGUGGAGGACACAGCUGGGAGUUUUGGAAGAAAAACGCUUGCGGCCAAGUUAAGGUUUUUUUUUUUUUUAAACCUUGAAGCUUGAAGAAAACACACAAAGCGGAACUGAAAACCUGCUACUACUCUGGACUGAGCUGUUGGGGCUACCAGAUGAGAAGCUGCUUUCCAGAGGGAUAAGUAAAACGGAGGUCCAGGGAGGAAGCCGGAGCACCCAGAGAGAACCCAUCAUGCAUAUGGAUAACAUGCAAACCCCAUGCAUAAAGAACCCAGGCCCGGAUUCAAACACAAGACUUUACUGCUGCAAGGCAACAGUGCUACCAACUAUGCAGCCCUGAUGUUUAAUUUCUGAUAUUUAAUUCAUGAACUUUAUUUUUAUUGACACCUAAGGAGAAUUUAGAGACCAGUUGACCUAACAGUCAUGAAUUCAGACUGCGGCCAGGAAGCUGGAGCACCAGAGAACAAAGGAGAUGAUUGUUGAUUUCAGGAGGAGAAGGAUCAAAUCAUACCCCAUUUCCAUCAUGGGAGAAGAAGUGGAGGUAGUUGAAGAAUAUAAACGCCUCGGUGUUCAUCUGGACAACAGACUGGACCGAGACGCAACAGUGAAGCAUCCAUACAAAGGGACAGAGCAGACUGGAGGAAGCUAAGAUCCUUCAAGGUAUGCAACAAGAUAAUGCAGCGACACUAUAAACUGUGUUGGUGCUGCACUGCUUCCCCCUCCUGAGACUCCGGAUGGUGUACCAGAAUCGCCUUGAAGCCGUGUGGAAGUCUUUUUCCAUGGCCUCUCCAAACUCCUCCCAUGCCUGAGUUUUUGCCUCAGCAACCACCUGAGCCGCAUGCCACUUCGACUGCCGGUACCCAUCAGCUGCUUCUGGAGUCCCACAGGCCAAAAGGAGCCCAAUAGGACUCCUUCUUCAGCCUGACAGCAUCCCUCACCGAAGGUGUCCACCAACAGGUUUGAGGGUUGCCGCCGCGACAGGCACAAACAACCUUGCGGUCACAGCUUCAAUAAGCCGCCUUUACAAAGGAGACAUGGAACAUAGCUCACUCAGAUUCAAUGUAUCUCACCUCCCCCGGAAGUGUUCAAAGUUCUGUCGGAGAUGGGAGUUAAAGCUCAGACUCACAGCAGACUCUGCCAGACAUUCCCAGCAGACCCUCACAACAUGUUUGGACUUGCCAGGUCUGACCGGCAUCCUCCCCCACCACCGGAGCCAACUCACUACCAGGUAGUGGUCAGUAGACAGCUCCUCACCUCUCUUCACCUGAGUGUCCAAGACAUAAGGCCACAGAUCCGACGAAAUGAUGACAAAGUCGCUCAUCGAACUGCGGUCUGGGGUGUCCUGGUGCCAAGUGCACAUAUGGACACCCUUAUGCCUAGACAUGGUGUUUGUUAUGGACAAUCUGUGAUGAGCACAGAAGUCCAGCAACAGAAGACCACUCGGGUUCAGAUUGGGGGGACCGUUUCUCCCAACCACGCCCCUCCAAGUCUCACUGUCAUUACCCAUGUCAGCAUUGAAGCCCCCCAGAAGAACAAGGGCGUCCCCAGGAGGGGAAAAAACAUGCUGACUAAGAUCUCCGUACUAAAAAUCAGGAGGAGUGUAACAGAUGUAACAUGCAUCUGUCACACUCAAGAUAACGAACAGCAAGACUUUCUAGUGUGAUGUUUGGUCUGCUGUUUAACCCUGUGAUCGUGAGCUCCUUUGGCGGCAAAUUCUGGUAUUAUCAGAUGUCGAACAUCGUAGGGAUUCAGCUCACAAGUUAAGGUCCGAUGGUCAGGACUCAUCUCUUCAAAGAAAACGUCAGAGGAAGUUUCCUCUGACGAAAGGUCGUCCAAAUCAUCCCCUAGGACAGAUCUCUCUUCAUGAGUCCGGCUUCUAGACUCAACGGUCUCCUUUUUACUACAAACUCCCCCAGCCGGGGAAGUUUGUUUUUUGAGAUUAGAGAAAUCAUUCCCUGGGGCAGAUCUCUUUCGACGGGUCCAGUGAUUUAAUGCUGCUAUCAUCAGAGCAGAGGUUACGGUUUCAGACUCAAGGUUCUCUUCGACAUUCCCUCGGGCAGAUCUCUUUUGGUGGCUCCAUUCUUCCAAUGCCGCUAUCAUCAGAGCAGAGGCCGAUGUUUCAGACUCCCCAGCCGGGGAAGGGUUGAAAAGGAAGUGUUGGGUGUAUAUGAGGCGCAGAAGAAGGGACUUGCCCUGGGGAUCGUUCAUACCAGAGCCUCCAGUGGGUGAACACGUCACAUAAGCAGUGCACAAUAUACCACACCUCUGAUGUGGAGCUGUUCCCCGAGUAAAGACGACUUAAGUUUGAUGCUUCCCAUGCCUGCAAUGACAAGAACAGUGACAGAACUGGAGCA